CAAGGAAUUUUCCGCAAUGGGCGCAAGCCUGACGGAGCAACGCCGCGUGCAGGAUGACGGUUUUCGGAUUGUAAACUGCUUUUAUCGGGGACGAAACGGACGGUACCCGGUGAAUAAGCCCCGGCUAACUCCGUGCCAGCAGCCGCGGUAAUACGGAGGGGGCAAGCGUUGUCCGGACUUACUGGGCGUAAAGCGUACGUAGGCGGCCUGGUGCGUCGCCACUGAAAGCGACCGGCUUAACCGGUCGAGGUGUGGCGAUACGACCCGGCUCGAGGCAGUGAGAGGUUGGUAGAAUUCCGGGUGUAGUGGUGAAAUGCGUAGAGAUCCGGAGGAAUACCUGUGGCGCAAGCGACCAACUGGCACUGACCUGACGCUGAGGUACGAAAGCGUGGGGAGCGAACC
rnacentral:rRNA from 1 species